rnacentral:tRNA from 1 species
GAGGGCAGAGCUCAGUGGUAGAGCACAUGCUUAGUAUGCACGAGGUCCUGGGUUCAAUCCCCAGUCCCUCCA